rnacentral:rRNA from 2 species
ACUGCUCAGUAACACGUGGAUAACCUGCCCAAGGGUCCGGGAUAACCCCGGGAAACUGGGGAUAAUACCGGAUGGAUCACUUAUGCUGGAAUGCUUGGUGGUCGAAAGGUGACGCCCUUGGAUGGGUCUGCGGCGGAUUAGGUUGACGCCGGUGUAACGUACCGGCGUGCCUGUAAUCCGUACGGGUUGUGGGAGCAAGAGCCCGGAGAUGGAUUCUGAGACACGAAUCCAGGCCCUACGGGGCGCAGCAGGCGCGAAAACUCUACAAUGCAGGCAACUGCGAUAGGGGGACAUCGAGUGGCAUCCACCUUGGGUGCCUGUCCCACCGUCUAAAAAACGGUGGUUAGCAAGGGCCGGGCAAGACCGGUGCCAGCCGCCGCGGUAAUACCGGCGGCUCGAGUGGUGGCCGAUAUUAUUGAGUCUAAAGGGUCCGUAGCCGGCUUUGCAAGUCCCCUGGGAAAUCCAGCGGCUUAACCGUUGGGCUUUCAUGGGAUACUACAUUGCUUGGGACUGGGAGAGGUAGGAGGUACUCGGGGGGUAGGGGUGAAAUCCUGUAAUCCCCCGGGGACCACCGGUGGCGAAGGCGUCCUACCAGAACAGGUCCGACGGUGAGGGACGAAAGCUAGGGGCACGAACCGGAUUAGAUACCCGGGUAGUCCUAGCCGUAAACGAUGCCCGCUAGGUGUCACGGCGGUCGUGAAUCGCCGUGGUGCCGUAGGGAAGCCGCGAAGCGGGCCACUUGGGAAGUACGGCCGCAAGGCUGAAACUUAAAGGAAUUGGCGGGGGAGCAC